GACGAACGCUGGCGGCGUGCCUAAUACAUGCAAGUCGAGCGGAUCUUCAUUAGCUUGCUUUUGAAGAUCAGCGGCGGACGGGUGAGUAACACGUGGGCAACCUGCCUGUAAGACUGGGAUAACUUCGGGAAACCGGAGCUAAUACCGGAUAAUCCUUUUCCUCUCAUGAGGAAAAGCUGAAAGACGGUUUCGGCUGUCACUUACAGCUGGGCCCGCGGCGCAUUAGCUAGUUGGUGAGGUAACGGCUCACCAAGGCGACGAUGCGUAGCCGACCUGAGAGGGUGAUCGGCCACACCGGGACUGAGACACGGCCCAGACUCCUACGGGAGGCAGCAGUAGGGAAUCUUCCGCAAUGGACGAAAGUCUGACGGAGCAACGCCGCGUGAGCGAUGAAGGCCUUCGGGUCGUAAAGCUCUGUUGUCAGGGAAGAACAAGUACCGGAGUAACUGCCGGUACCUUGACGGUACCUGACCAGAAAGCCACGGCUAACUACGUGCCAGCAGCCGCUGUAAAAC
rnacentral:rRNA from 1 species